rnacentral:tRNA from 1 species
ACAUUGGUAGUUCAGUGGUAGAAUUCUUACUUCCCAUUUGGGAGACCCAGGUUUGAUUCCUGGUCAAUGCA